CUCACCUUCCCAGGCUACUGGAGCCUCUGCAAUCCCAAACAUUGCCAGUCACUGUAUCCAUGCUUUGGCACUGAGAAAACUUCGUUUUGGCGACUUCUUUUAGAUGAAACAGUGGAAACAACUUCCGAGGGUUUCCACUGUUACCCAGACAAAGUGAAUUCAUAAUCCAUGGGGGUGACAGCAAAAAUCACAACUACUGGUGAGAGGUGACACCGUGCUGGCAGCCCCCACUCGCUCUCGGCGCCUCCUCGCCCUUGGCGCCCACUCUGGCCCUUCAGCCCACCGUUGCACUGUGGGAGCCCCUUUCUGGGCUGGCCAAGGCCGGAGCCGACUCCCUCAGCUUGCGAGGAGGCGUGGAGGGAGAGGCGCGGGCGGAAACUGGGGCUGCGCGCGGCGCUUGCGGGCCAGCGCCAGUUCCGG
rnacentral:lncRNA from 10 species